AUGUGUUUCUAUUUGCAGGUAUGCAUGUUCUCGCUAAGGAAUCUCCUACGCGAUCUACAUCCAGAUGGCAUCUAUAAGCCCAUCAUCCUAAUCCAGCAACCUCUAAAUGGCAUCUGUAAGCCCAUUCCACCACACUGCUAUCAUGUGAGCGCAAAUUUCUGGGCACUCUGGUGUCCAAUCAUCUUCUACCCUCGGAUUACGAAAGGCACGUCAGCCAAUCUGCAUCCUCAAGUCUAA